rnacentral:lncRNA from 1 species
UGAAGCUUGAAGUAUCUGUGCAGGCUCCUCGCUGGGUGGCGAUGUUUCCCGCACUGAAACCGGACUUCUAGACUAUCUAGCCCUCAAGCUAAUUUAGAGCAGCUAUUUCUUUCUUAGUUUUAUUGAUUUAUUUAUAUUCUCACCACAGUGUGGACGUUCACAUAUCAUAUAUUAAAACCACAAAUUUAAAAUUAUUACAAAAUUAUUAAAGCUCUAGAAUCAAUAUUCACUAACAAAAGAAGCGAGAAUGUGAGUGAGAAGCUGGCGAAUGAGAAGCGACCUUCAGCUGGUCUGAGUCCUCCUCCCUCCUCCAGCUUAAAGCGGAGAAGACACUGGUGUAGAGCUAGCUUAGCUUAACUAACUACAGUAGCUACUAGCUAGUUACAAUACCGCUGUGCUAAGGCGACAAAAAAGGGCAUAUUUACUAUAUUUUCUUAGUUUAGGCUUUCUUUUUGAACCCCCUCAACCUCCUCCUUCUUCACCAGCCAGCACUCACUCUUAGCGGGGCUGUGACUGCCCCCCCUGAGCGCUGGCGGCGCUACGGAGAUCUGCUCCACAUUUGCCCGCCUCGGAGAGCAGGGAGACCGGACACACGAAACAACAGGCAGCGGUGUACGAGCCGAGCACAAGCGCCGGGCUGCCAAAUGCACGAAUUUACCCUCCUACUUUUUCUUUUCAUCGCUGUGGAUUGUAAAUUCUCACACUCAGCCGGAAUGCUCACUGCUGGAUUUUAUUUUUGACCGGUUUUAAAUGUUUUUCACCCUCCGUUUUCACCGCCAAGAGGCCCCGCGGAUUGUAGCGACGUGUAGCCGCCUCGGGGCGACCGUAUCGGGGAUGAAGUCUCGCUGGGGCUCGCUGUGGGCGGUUUGAGUCAGGAACUCCCCCACCUCCACCACUCACACUAGCUAAAUUUCCAGUCGUUUUGUAUUCAUUUCUCACAUCGGAAAGAAAAUAUUUGCCACGUUUCUUCAAACCUGGACACCCCUGGAACAGUUUAUGACGGGUUCCAGAAUUGUGAUUGUUGAGUUGCAAAGUGAAGGGAGGAGACCUGCCCAAGAAGAGACCUGCCCAUUACUGGGAAUAGUAGUAAUGUCGUCAUUUAGUCCGGUUCUAUCUGCCUUUCUACACAAACCUUCCCGAGGUGUUACAGAAUGGAUGAUUAGCAGCCUUGUCAUGUCCUGUCAGCACCUGUGAAGUGAGGCAAUAAUGCGUAUUAUAUAUUGUCUGGUGAAAAAGUGGCACAAGCUGUUUACAGUAAUUACUGUUACCUUACAGAAAAAAAGAGUCAGUACUGUACUGUAGUUGUAAUACUGUAAGUAGGCCUG